rnacentral:rRNA from 1 species
UACGGAGGGGGCUAGCGUUGUUCGGAAUUACUGGGCGUAAAGCGCACGUAGGCGGCUUUGUACGUUAGAGGUGAAAGCCCGGGGCUCAACCCCGGAACUGCCUUUAAGACUGCAUCGCUUGAAUCCAGGAGAGGUGAGUGGAAUUCCGAGUGUAGAGGUGAAAUGCGUAGAUAUCGGGAGGAACACCAGUGGCGAAGGCGGUCGUCUGGGCUUGUCCUGACGCUGAGGAGCGAAAGCGUGGGGAGCGAACCGG